CAAAGAUAGCAGGACAUUUAGGGCUGACAUUGGAAAUUCCUUGGGGGCUCUUCAUGCAACUCCUGAAGCCUGUUAACACCAGAAGGUUGGUUAUAAAAAGAAUGGAGUGACAAUGAGGAUGCUGAGGUUUACAUCCAGAAUACGUGUUAAUGGGGUCAAAUGCCAUCCCAUAUUCUAUUUGGACAAUGUGAAAUUUAUGGAUAUUAAUAUUUUAUCAAUUGGCUUCUUUGAACUAGAAUCUCAGCUUUCAGUGGACUUUCAUCAUGGCCAGUAUCUACACCACGGUUACAAUGCAGCUGAUAAGUGACUCUUCCCUCCGGAAGCACCUGUAAGAACUCACAUGAAAG